GUUGCAAAUGGGUCAUUCCACGGGGUUGGGGCAACAGCACUUUUUUGUGUUCCUUAUGAAUUGUUAGCUUUAUCCUGAAAAUGUGUUUGGUGUUUUGAUGUUGCAAUGUGCUUUUGUUGGAAGGCAGUUAUGUAAGCAAUUACUUGAUGCAGAAAUAAAAAUGUUGAACUGCAAGUAUUAUUGAUGGUGAGACUUUAAAUGAUGAUGUCCAGACUCUUUUUUGGGGUACCAAGUGUGACAUCCAAAAUGGUCAUUUUCAGUUGAAGAUAUCUAAUCAAAAGAUAAACUUAGUCAAAUUCAAAUGGCCAUGAUUGAUAAAGCAACAUUUGUUUAAUAACAAAACAGUAAUGGGAUAGCAAAUGAAAAGAGACUUCAUAUCACAAAUCAUUCCUACAACUCGGCAUACCACCGUUACAUGCGAUGUCCGCGUUUAUUUUUUUCUGUAACGGCGGUAAUGUGGUAAAUAUCUAAAAAUCAGAAAUCAUUUUUUCCAAAGUUAUGUGUCAGAAAUAAAGGGCAGGCAGUAAGCAACUGUUCAUCAAAAGAUUAGCUUUGAAAACCUAUUGUAAUGUCAUCUAAAUUAAUCGAGGGUCGCCGAUGUUUUGGGCGAUGUCCGGGCCAAAUUUGUAACGGUGGAUCACAUUUCAUCGCGUAUGUAAGAAGGAGACACCGGAGAAGAGACCGUCGUUGUAUCAGACGGACGGGAUGUUAGCCGAAAUCCACAUGCACAUGAACAGCUAUGAUAGCGGGCGUUUUGAAGCAUUGCAAUGGGGAAUAUUCCUGCAAUGUCUCUGUAACGGUGGAAUGGAUAUCCACGAUGUUUUCCCUUUCAAAGCGACGUAGCCUCUGUUGAAGGUAAAAAUGUAUAUCUUCAGUACAUGAAGUGUCAAUCCGUUGACCUGUACUCCUGGCCUGAUGGCGA